AGCUGGUCUGAAGGUAUUGAGUUAUGGCAAUUAGUUAUUUACAAUCAAUUACAGACUGAAAACUCUUGUUCCACACUUCCCCUCUAAUCACUACUAUACUUGACUAGUCUAAG
ensembl:misc_RNA Y_RNA Y RNA